GGCGCAUUCGUCUAGUGGUUAGGACGCGUGAUUCUCAAUCACGCAACAGGGGUUCGAUUCCCCUAUGCGCUA
rnacentral:tRNA from 1 species